rnacentral:rRNA from 1 species
UACGUAGGGUGCAAGCGUUAAUCGGAAUGACUGGGCGUAAAGGGUGUGUAGGCGGUCUGCAAAGUCUGAUGUGAAAUCCCCGGGCUCAACCUGGGAACUGCGUUGGAUACUGGUAGACUAGAGUACGUAAGAGGGGGGUGGAAUUCCACGUGUAGCAGUGAAAUGCGUAGAGAUGUGGAGGAACACCGAUGGCGAAGGCAGCCCCCUGGGCUGAGAUUGACGCUCAGGCACGAAAGCGUGGGGAGCAAACAGG